UACAGAGGUCUCAAGCGUUGUUCGGAAUCAUUGGGCGUAAAGGGCGCGUAGGCUGCGGGGCAAGUCGGGUGUGAAAUCUCAGAGCUCAACUCUGAAACUGCACUCGAUACUGCUUUGCUCGAGGACUGGAGAGGAGAUUGGAAUUCACGGUGUAGCAGUGAAAUGCGUAGAUAUCGUGAGGAAGACCAGUGGCGAAGGCGGAUCUCUGGACAGUUCCUGACGCUGAGGCACGAAGGUCAGGGGAGCAAACGGG
rnacentral:rRNA from 1 species